GACAAUUCAAGGUUUGUUCAAGAAGGAUGAGGUUAAGGUUGAGGAAGUUGUGGAGGAGAAAGCUAAGGUGGAGGAAGAGAAGAAGGAGGAGGUGAAAGAGGAGGAGUGUGUGAAAGAGGAGGCUGAGAAAGUGGAGGAGAGUGUUGAGGUGAAAGAGGAGGCUGAGAAGGUGGAGGAGAAGGAGAAGGUGGUGGAAGGAGGAGAGGAGUCUUCGAAAAAGAGUGGUGAGAAGAAGGGGUUGAAUAAGUUGAAAUCGAAAAUUGGAGAGGCCUUUAAGGGUCAUGGUCUGUUUAAGAAAGAGGAGCCUAAAGUGGAGGAAGUUGUGGAAGAGAAAGCAAAGGUGGAGGAAGUUGUGGAAGAGAAAAAAGAUGAAGAGAAGAAGGAAGAGUGUGAGAAAGAAGUGGUGCAGGAGGAUGUUAAGGAGAAGGAGAGUGAGACGGUUGAGGAGAAGGAAAAGGUGGAAGAAGGAGAGGAAUCUUCGAAGAAGAGUGUUGAGAAGAAGGGGUUGAAUAAGUUCAAAUCAACAAUUCAAGAAGCCUUCAAGGGUCACAGUCUGUUUGGUAAAAAGUCUAAGAAGGAGGUAGAGGAGAAGAAGGAAGAGUUGAAGCCCGAGGGUGAUGAAAAGGUUGAGGAAGAGCCAAAGCCCGAGGGGGAUGACAAGGUGGAUGCAGAAUCAAAGC
rnacentral:lncRNA from 1 species